ACCCUUUCGACUCAGUAGUAGAGUAACCCCAUGGUAAGGCGUAAGUCAUCGGUUCAAGUCCGGUAAAGGGAU
rnacentral:tRNA from 1 species